GGUGCGUAACGCGUAUGCAACCUACCUUAUACAGGGGAAUAACCUUUCGAAAGGGAGACUAACACCCCAUAGUAUUGAUUUAAGGCAUCUUAGAUUAAUUAAAUAUUUAUAGGUAUAAGAUGGGCAUGCGUAUGAUUAGCUAGUUGGUAAGGUAACGGCUUACCAAGGCGACGAUCAUUAGGGGUUCUGAGAGGAAGGUCCCCCACACUGGUACUGAGACACGGACCAGACUCCUACGGGAGGCAGCAGUGAGGAAUAUUGGUCAAUGGGCGCAAGCCUGAACCAGCCAUGCCGCGUGCAGGAAGACGGCCUUAUGGGUUGUAAACUGCUUUUACAUAAGACUAACCGUAUAUUUGCGAAUAUACCUGAAUGUAUUAUGAGAAUAAGGAUCGGCUAACUCCGUGCCAGCCGCCGC
rnacentral:rRNA from 1 species